GGCGCUAUAGUGUAGUGGUUAUCACUCGGGAUUUUGAGUACUGACGCAAGUCAGCGGUCUUCCCGAAACCCAGGUUCGAACCCUGGUAGCGCCU